CUACCCUUCAACUGCCAUGGCUCUUUCUCUUUUCCUUUACCUUCCUCGUCUUGACGAGGAAGUUCACUGCGAGUUUAGAGAAUUGACUGAACCUGUGAAAAUUCCCGGUUGUAUUCCUAUUCACGGUAAAUAUUUACUAGACCCUCUUCAAGACAGGAAGAACGAUGCUUACCAAAGUGUCUUUCGCAACGCGAAGAGAUACAGAGAAGCAGAUGGACUUAUAGAGAAUAGUUUUCUUGAACUUGAACCGGGUCCAAUCAAGGAGUUACUAAAGGAAGAACCAGGAAAACCUAAGUUUUACCCGGUUGGACCAUUAGUAAAGAGAGAAGUAGAAGUAGGUCAAAUUGGACCGAACUCAGAGAGUUUGAAAUGGUUAGAUAAUCAACCACAU
rnacentral:lncRNA from 1 species